rnacentral:lncRNA from 10 species
AACAACUGGUACUGCUCCAGCUCCUGCACCAGCACCUGGGCCCUUCUCCAACACAGACCCGAACCAGGAAGAUCCGGAUAAAGACACUGUCUGCACUCUACUCAGAUGCCCUUUGAGUCUAUGCGCUGUUUCUGGGCUCAUCCUCCAGCCUCAACGUGUUUGCUGCCACACAGCAUGUCCUGUGGGACUGGAGAAAUAUGGAGAAUGCAGCACACUUGCUUCCUACUGAAGAAAUCCCUGAAAAACCAGAUGGCAGAAGUUACUCAGAAGAAAUGAAAGGAUUUUCCAUUAUUCAAAUAGGAGGUGGAAGAGGAAGUGUGGGAGUAAUUACUGGAUUAAGAUCACUGAAAGACAAGAUUGUCUUUAAGGAAACAGAAGACUGAGAAGAAAAGAAGCUUGCUCAAGGUCACAUAGAGCUGGAAUUUAAAUUCAGAUCUAUUAUACUCUUAAGGACUGUGGAAGGUUCUAGAGGCUGGAAGUCGAAGAUCAAA